CCUACGGGUGGCAGCAGUGAGGAAUCUUGGUCAAUGGGCGGGAGCCUGAACCAGCCAAGUCGCGUGCGGGACGACGGUCCUAUGGAUUGUAAACCUCUUUUAUCGGGGAACAAAGGCGCCCACGGGUGGGCGGAUGAGUGUACCCGGAGAAAAAGCAUCGGCUAACUCCGUGCCAGCAGCCGCGGUAAUACUGAGGAUGCGAGCGUUAUCCGGAUUGGUUGGGUUUAAAGGGUGCGUAGGCGGACAGUCAAGUCAGCGGUAAAAAUGCGGUGCUCAACGGCGUACAGCCGAUGAAACUGGCAGUCUUGAGUGGGCGAGAAGGAUGCGGAAUGCGUGGUGUAGCGGUGAAAUGCAUAGAUAUCACGCAGAACUCCGAUGGCGAAGGCAGCAUACCGGCGCCUGACUGACGCUGAGGCACGAAAGCGUGGGUAUCGAACAGGAUUAGAUACCCGUGUAGUC
rnacentral:rRNA from 1 species